UACAGGGGGUGCGAGCGUUUGUUCGGAAUUACUGGGCGUAAAGAGCGUGUAGGCGGUCUAGCAAGUCAGAUGUGAAAUCCCAGAGCCUAACUUUGGACGUGCAUUUGAAACUGCUAGGCUUGAGUACAGUAGAGGUUGGCGGAAUACCCAGUGUAGAGGUGAAAUUCGUAGAUAUUGGGUAGAACACCGGUGGCGAAGGCGGCCAACUGGGCUGUAACUGACGCUGAGACGCGAAAGCGUGGGGAGCAAACAGG
rnacentral:rRNA from 1 species